CUUUAAUUUUCACAGUUCCUCAUUACCCACAAAUUCUUUCUCUUGGAGAAGUUAAUUACACUUCAGUAUAACUCUUGGCUAUCAAUUUAGAUAAAAUUUCUUGAAAAUUCUUGUGGGCUUCUUGAAUUGUGAGGAUUAAUUGAUUUUCUUAGGGUUCUUCAAGGAGGAUAAUAUAUUACACUAUUACGGAAUGGAAGGGGAAUAAAAUGGCAAAAAGGUCCUCUUUGGGAAGUUAAUUACCCAUUAGAAUAAAUCUUCAGUAUCAAUUCAGAUCUAAUUCAUUGAAAAGCUAGGUGGGCUUCUUGAAUUUUGAGGAUUUAUUUGAUUUUCUUAGGGUUUUUGAAAGGGGAUUCUAUUACAAUCUUGCAGAAUGCAAGGAGAAAAAGUAGCAAAAAGAUCCUCUUUGGGAAACAUGGUGAGAAAGGGGCUUUCAGACAUUACUAAUUCUUUGCCACGGCCCAAGUCUCCAAUCAUACCUGGAAAGUCGCAGCCAGAUUCUGCUUCUGCUAAGGACUAGAUCGAUAAUCUAGUCAAGGUACUAU
rnacentral:lncRNA from 1 species